GACGAACCGCCCGAACGUUGUUCGGAAUCACUGGGCUUAAAGGGAGCGUAGGCGGGCUGCCAAGUCCGGGGUGAAAUCCUCCAGCUUAACUGGAGAACUGCCUCGGAUACUGGAAGUCUCGAGGAGGGUAGGGGCAAGUGGAACCGUGGGUGGAGCGGUGAAAUGCGUUGAUAUCCAUGGGAACUCCGGUGGCGAAGGCGACUUGCUGGACCCUUUCUGACGCUGAGGCUCGAAAGCCAGGGAGCAAACGGG
rnacentral:rRNA from 1 species